rfam:Oryza barthii chromosome 8, whole genome shotgun sequence.
AAUAAGUACAGCCAUGAGUUUCCGUGUCCAACUUUAAUCAUCCAUCUUAUUUGAAAUUUUUGUAUGGUUAGUAUUUUUAUUGUUAUUAGAUUAUAAAACAUGAAUAGUAUUUUAUGCAUGACUUGUGUUUUUUAGUUUUUUUUUAAAAAAAAUCAAAUAAGACGAACAAUUAAAGUUGGACACGGAAACUCAUGGCUGCGCUUAUU